CUGACCUCUGCAGUCAUAUCCCACAUGAUAUUAUGCUCCCAUGUCAUGGAGGAGGUAUGGGACAGGGCAACAGAGGCCGAGAUUGUGGGACCUUAGGGGCAGUGGAAACUCUCCACCUCUCUACACACACACAGCAAGGCCUUCUGGGAUUCCUAUGGCACUGUCAAGGCUGGAGGCAGGGUGGACUGAGGAUCAAGACCUGGAUAAACUCAUCACAGUGGACUUAGAGGUAGUGUUGGGGACAUCAGACCUGCCCUUCCUUCCUGAGAACAGGUGGUUCUACCAGGUGAAGAGUACCCACUGGUGCCAUCCUGGCUAGAACCCUGAGAAUCAGCUCUGAACCUGACCAGUCAACUCUCAGGCCAUGGAGUCUGGUCCUCUCUCCACACCCACAGCUUUUAGUUUGUCCUUCAUCCUUCUUUUGAAAACUCCAGCCUCAGGACCAGGCCAUCUGUGCCUUAUGCCGCCCCCCUCCCCAAGUAUCUUCAGUGGACAUCAAAAGGUUUCUCCCAACCCCUGAGAGUCUGGAAAGAAGAGCACGAGGCCUUGGGGGCAGCAUUCAAAGCCUUCCACACUACCCCCACCAUCUCUAGUCAUCUCUGUCUAAACCUGCUCUGUUCAGCAUGACAGCCAUCAGCUCCGUGUGGCUAUUUACACUGCAAUGGGUCAAAAAUGAAAUGAAGUGGAAAAUUCAA